rnacentral:rRNA from 1 species
GAUGAACGCUAGCGGCAGGCUUAAUACAUGCAAGUCGUGGGGCAGCAUGACUGUAGCAAUACAGUUGAUGGCGACCGGCAAACGGGUGCGGAACACGUACACAACCUUCCUUCGAGUGGGGAAUAGCCCGGGGAAACCCGGAUUAAUACCCCCCGGUAAACAUAAUGAAGUGGCAUCACUUUAUUAUUAUAGCUCCGGCG